AUUGACAUUUCUCUGAAACCCUAGCCACCAUGUUCCUCCUUCUUCAUUACGAUUCAACUCAAUAGCAAUCGUGAUCCUCUUUUUUCUUAGUUGUUCUACGAUUCAAACCCUAAAUCGAUUUCCCCAUUCAUCUUUUUCAUAUAUACAAUCAAUGUCGUCGAUCAAUUGAAUGGUUGAAGAAAAUACUAGGUGCCUCUACUUUCAGUUUCUCUCUCAAAACCCUAGAUCAACAAGUGCAAGUUCGUGUUCUUCACUUUCAUAUUCAUCAAUUAAGAACAUAGUUUUGAAGACUUUCGUGGGACUUGGGUAAAUGUGAGGUUGGAAAAUCGAGUUCUUUUCAAUUGGAUAGCAAUUGAUAAACUUGGUCUACACAUUCAACAAGCUAUGAUAAGUUGCUCCAACGGAUUUGCUCUCGAUAUCUUCCGGGCUGAAAUUGCAAUAUAUAUCGUAUUUAUUUGUUAUUGAUUUAUUUUGUGAUUUUGAUUGUGGGUUUUUGUUUUUGUAGCAAUGCUAAGAAGGGCGAGAUGUUCAUCUUGAUCAGGUUAACGGUGCUGCUGGAGUGUGCAGGGCUUAAGUGCAAGUGUGAAAGUGAAGGGAUUAAUGCUUGGCUAUCUUAGUAAAGACAAAGUGUUGAAACAACAGGGAUUGUUACAAGGAGACCUUUGGUGUUGCAAUUGCACAAGACAGAGGGCAGACAAGAGAAGUAUGCAGGAAACAUUGUGCUUGCACGAACUUAUGAUAAAGGCAUUGAAUAAGCAACUUCUAAAGAUGGAUGCAAAUGGGGUAAUGUCAUGAAGAAAAGCUGUUGUAGUCAAAUUAUCUUCUAUUGUACAGUGCAGGGAUGAUUUUUUGAAGAGUGUGGUACUAGAAUUUACAAGCAAAACAUGAUGAAAUUGAUAGCCUGGCCCACAAGCAAGUUUGAUGGAUCCUCUAUAACACGGUUAUCAACAACUUAUCAAAGACAAAACACAAGGAUCUGGUUAAAAAGAAACACAAAGAUGCUUCCGUCAUUAAAUCCUUUAUCUCAAACCUACAUUCAAGCGUUCUUCAUUCGCGAUCUGGGUAAAAUCGCUAACGGCUAUUAUAAUUUCAUCGAAGUCGGUACCUAAAUUUCCCGCUGUACCUAAAUUUACACGUCGCCGGUGCCGCCUCCGAUCGAAGAGAGAGAAGAAGUGAAAUCAUUCAAAGAACUUGGAAUUGUUGACGAACUGAUUGAGGCUUGUGAUAGUUUGGGAUGGAAAAAUCCUUCUAAAAUACAAGCUGAUGCCAUUCCUCAUGCCUUGAAGGAAAGGAUUUGAUUGGCUUAAGGUGUGCAGUGGCUGAACAAAAUACAGAUGAAGUUCAUAUGGUGGGUUCUCGCUUAUUUCUGAAGUUGAUAAAAUCUUAAUUAUUUUCAUCAUACAGGCGGACCACAAAUGCAAGCCCUGGUGCUCUCCGUAGGGUCACAAGCACCGGUCAAAGGAGCUCACUAGUUGUAUCCCCAGACAAGUAACGGUUGUGGUGGAGAAAAAACUAAUGAGAGAAAGAAAUUGACCCGUCAUGAUGUGGGCCGAGAGAAUUUUGUAUCGGAGGUAUGGAAGUGGAAAGAUGAGUAUGGGGGCACGAUACUAAAACAACUUCGACGUUGGGUGCAUCUCUAGAUUGGUCACGUGAGUGUUUUACAAUGGAUGACAAAAGGUCAAAUGCUGUUACAGAAGCUUUUGUCAGGCUUUAUAAGGAGGGUCUUAUAUAUAGAGAUUUACGGUUAGUCAACUGGGAUUAUGUGUUGCGAACAACAAUAUUUGAUAUCGAGAGGCAGGGGUAUUGUUGAAUAGUGGGUCGAAACAUGUUCAGGGGUCAGGUGGAUGUAGCAUGAGCACGACUCGAGGCUGAGUUGGUAUCAACUAUGGAUAAUCUUUUUAGAGUCACUCACAAGAUGAAAGAUAUUGACAUCGACAUCCAGAGUCUGAAAUUAGAGCUAGAAAAGGCUUUUCCUUCUUUGGGACACAGUGAGUUUACAAUGGUCAAGUGGGAAGGUCUAAAGGCAUUCUUGAGCAUUGACAGAACACCGUUAUAUUGUGGAGAUGUUUUAAUCACAAAAGGGUUCACCAAGUCUUAUCAACAUAUACACUUCUGUUGGAUUCUUGGAACCGGUCACUUACGUAAGUUUUACAUUGGUACCUCAUAUAAACAUUUUAUGUUUUUUUUAUUUGUUUAGGUGUGCCAAUGUGUUGCUGACAAUUCCUAUAUGGGUAGUAGUUCCACGUAUGCAGGUGAUGAUCCGUUUCAUUACUUAUCAUGUCUAAUAACUAAACUGUGGAAUUCUAAGUUUACAUGUCAGUCCGUCUUCCUGGUGUCACUAGCUGCUCAAAAUGGUUUCCCAAUAAUAUGGGUUUUAAUGUUACUCAUUUUGCAGACCCACACAAAGAAAACUCUAUCUGACCAGAUUUCGUAUAUUGUUUCAAUGCAUGCAACUGUAGGUGGAUUAGAACCACCACCUUAUGCAACAAGCAAUGUUGUAUGUGCUGAUGAGCAUCUCCAUUUUUCUUCUAUGGUGUUAUGAUUUGGGUGCAUAAGAUGGAAACGUGUCAAAUGGGUCGGAAUUCACCCAAAAGGCAUAAAUCCUCAUAAGUUGUUUUAUUUCAAAAACUUAGAUUAUUAUUCUAAUGAUAUACUUUUUAAUCAGAAUUUUUUUUUUUUAAAUCGAUUGAAUCUGGUCACACAUAGAUGCAGCCCAAAGUACCUGGAUAACCACCACCUCUUGAUAAUUCAGAAGUUGAUCAUCGUAUUUUUCAUUUUCAUUUAAGCAAAAUGAUUUUUAUUUAAGCGAUACCUACUUUGUCAGCUCUGGUUCGAAGAGGUGUUCAUAAUGCUGAUAUCAGCUGCCCGUUAUGUUUGAAAAGAAGAAAAGGAAAAGUUAGAUGGUUGUGAAAAUGAGAAAGAGAGAGAGAGAUCGAAGGAGAAAAGGAAAAGGAGCAGCGAUCCCAAACAGCCUCAAUAUAGAUUAUCUUUGUUUGUUACGCUGUUAGCGUAACCAGUCCACCGGACGGGUAUUAAACUAGUUAUUAUUAAAACCUUACAAGUACUGUAUAUGAAUUUUUUCAGUAAAUUGAUUUAAGACGUAUGCAUUUAAAAUACAUUUUGGGUGUUUUGA